UACGUAGGGUGCAAGCGUUGUCCGGAAUUAUUGGGCGUAAAGAGCUCGUAGGCGGUUUGUCACGUCUGCUGUGAAAACUCGGGGCUUAACUCCGGGCCUGCAGUGGGUACGGGCAGACUAGAGUGCGGUAGGGGAGACUGGAAUUCCUGGUGUAGCGGUGAAAUGCGCAGAUAUCAGGAGGAACGCCGGUGGCGAAGGCGGGUCUCUGGGCCGUAACUGACGCUGAGGAGCGAAAGCGUGGGGAGCGAACAGG
rnacentral:rRNA from 1 species